rnacentral:rRNA from 1 species
GCAAGCCUGACGGAGCAACGCCGCGUGAGUGAAGAAGGUCUUGGAUCGUAAAGCUCUGUUGAUGGGGACGAACGUGCGAAGGGUGAAUAAUCCUUUGCAAUGACGGUACCUAUCGAAGAAGCCACGGCUAACUACGUGCCAGCAGCCGCGGUAAUACGUAGGUGGCGAGCGUUGUCCGGAAUCAUUGGGCGUAAAGGGAGCGCAGGCGGGCAUGUAAGUCUUUCUUAAAAGUUCGGGGCUCAACCCCGUGAUGGGAAAGAAACUACAUGUCUUGAGUACAGGAGAGGAAAGCGGAAUUCCCAGUGUAGCGGUGAAAUGCGUAUAUAUAGGGAGGAACACCAGUGGCGAAGGCGGCUUUCUGGACUGCAACUGACGCUGAGGCUCGAAAGCCAGGGGAGCGAGCGGGAUUAGAUACCCCGGUAGUCCUGGCCGUAAACGAUGGAUACUAGGUGUGGGAGGUAUCGACCCCUACCGUGCCGGAGUUAACGCAUAAGUAUCGCGCCCUGGGGAGUACGGUCGCAAGACUGAAGCU